rnacentral:rRNA from 1 species
CGCUGGCGGCGUGCCUAAUACAUGCAAGUCGAACGAGUUCUGAUUAUUGAAAGGUGCUUGCAUCUUGAUUUAAUUUUGAACGAGUGGCGGACGGGUGAGUAACACGUGGGUAACCUGCCCUUAAGUGGGGGAUAACAUUUGGAAACAGAUGCUAAUACCGCAUAAAUCCAAGAACCGCAUGGUUCUUGGCUGAAAGAUGGCGUAAGCUAUCGCUUUUGGAUGGACCCGCGGCGUAUUAGCUAGUUGGUGAGGUAACGGCUCACCAAGGCAAUGAUACGUAGCCGAACUGAGAGGUUGAUCGGCCACAUUGGGACUGAGACACGGCCCAAACUCCUACGGGAGGCAGCAGUAGGGAAUCUUCCACAAUGGACGCAAGUCUGAUGGAGCAACGCCGCGUGAGUGAAGAAGGCUUUCGGGUCGUAAAACUCUGUUGUUGGAGAAGAAUGGUCGGCAGAGUAACUGUUGUCGGCGUGACGGUAUCCAACCAGAAAGCCACGGCUAACUACGUGCCAGCAGCCGCGGUAAUACGUAGGUGGCAAGCGUUAUCCGGAUUUAUUGGGCGUAAAGCGAGCGCAGGCGGUUUUUUAAGUCUGAUGUGAAAGCCCUCGGCUUAACCGAGGAAGUGCAUCGGAAACUGGGAAACUUGAGUGCAGAAGAGGACAGUGGAACUCCAUGUGUAGCGGUGAAAUGCGUAGAUAUAUGGAAGAACACCAGUGGCGAAGGCGGCUGUCUGGUCUGUAACUGACGCUGAGGCUCGAAAGCAUGGGUAGCGAACAGGAUUAGAUACCCUGGUAGUCCAUGCCGUAAACGAUGAAUGCUAGGUGUUGGAGGGUUUCCGCCCUUCAGUGCCGCAGCUAACGCAUUAAGCAUUCCGCCUGGGGAGUACGACCGCAAGGUUGAAACUCAAAGGAAUUGACGGGGGCCCGCACAAGCGGUGGAGCAUGUGGUUUAAUUCGAAGCAACGCGAAGAACCUUACCAGGUCUUGACAUCUUUUGAUCACCUGAGAGAUCAGGUUUCCCCUUCGGGGGCAAAAUGACAGGUGGUGCAUGGUUGUCGUCAGCUCGUGUCGUGAGAUGUUGGGUUAAGUCCCGCAACGAGCGCAACCCUUAUGACUAGUUGCCAGCAUUUAGUUGGGCACUCUAGUAAGACUGCCGGUGACAAACCGGAGGAAGGUGGGGAUGACGUCAAAUCAUCAUGCCCCUUAUGACCUGGGCUACACACGUGCUACAAUGGAUGGUACAACGAGUUGCGAGACCGCGAGGUCAAGCUAAUCUCUUAAAGCCAUUCUCAGUUCGGACUGUAGGCUGCAACUCGCCUACACGAAGUCGGAAUCGCUAGUAAUCGCGGAUCAGCACGCCGCGGUGAAUACGUUCCCGGGCCUUGUACACACCGCCCGUCACACCAUGAGAGUUUGUAACACCCGAAGCCGGUGAAGUAACCCUUUUAGGGAGCGAGCCGUCUAAGGUGGGAC